rnacentral:rRNA from 1 species
AUACGGAGGGUGCGAGCGUUAAUCGGAAUUACUGGGCGUAAAGCGCGCGUAGGCGGUUGGAUAAGUCGGAUGUGAAAGCCCCGGGCUCAACCUGGGAAUUGCAUUCGAAACUGUCCGGCUAGAGUAUGGUAGAGGGAAGCGGAAUUCCACAUGUAGCGGUGAAAUGCGUAGAUAUGUGGAGGAACACCAGUGGCGAAGGCGGCUUCCUGGACCAAUACUGACGCUGAGGUGCGAAAGCGUGGGGAGCAAACAGGAGUAGAAACCCUAGUAGUCC